AGGCAGACAGACUAUGAGUGCUAAGAUUCAUAGUCAAAAGGGAAACAGCCCAAAUUAUUUGUUAAGGCCCUCAAAAGUAAUUAAGUGAAAAAGAAAGUAAGAAAAUGUUAACAGCUUAUAGGUAGGCUUGGAAGCAGCCAUCCUUUCAAGAAAGCGUAACAACUCAUUGGUUUAGCUUUUUAGCGUCGAAAAUGUACAGGGGCUAAAAUUACUUGCCGAAACAAUAAAUUU
rnacentral:rRNA from 1 species